ensembl:lncRNA MIR99AHG mir-99a-let-7c cluster host gene
ACGCAACUGUUGCUUUUUCAUGCAUGUUUUUAAGCGUCACACUGAGCCUGGAAGUUAACACAGAAUCAGAUCAAUCUUCAGGAAUUUUACUGGGAUAAUUAUCCAAAUAAAUUGCAAGCAUUCUAUCCAAAUGGACAUCCAUAAAAAUUCAUCAGAGAGCAUUUUACUACUGAGCUGCAAAGGUAGGAAAAAUAAAUUUUUUUUGGUUAGAAAAUAUACUUCUUUCAUCUGCGUUUCAAUAAUUUAUUCCCCUUGUUAGAUAUACAUGGAAUUGAUAUUGCUUAUUCUGACUAAGUGAAAAGUGUUAUUUCUACUUACUGCUCAAUUAGAAACAUGUAGUGUUUAAUUGUCAGUUUGAAUUUUUCUUUCAUACUAUUACAGUUUAUAUUUUACUAUAGGCAGAAUUUCCUCUUUAUCCUAAAUUUUGAUAUUCUCCAUAAUUUCAUCGUGCCUUGACAUUGCUGUAUAUAAUUUCUAUACAUCAGGAAGGCAAUUCUGUGUGCAUGUGUGUGUGUAUAUAUAUAGUUAGAAGUUAGAAACUGAAACUCUUUUUUGUCUACCAUCAUUUCAUAUUUUUCUUGCUAUUUCAAACCUAUAAUUUUUAAAGAAACGACUAACGUAAUCAUUCAUAGAAUAUGCUGUCAGUAACUUAACAAUAUAAAUGUUAACAUGGAGGCAUUUAGUUCAGCAUUUGCUUUACUUAAUAGAGUGCAGAAAAUGUGGCCCUUUUCUCAGUUAGGGUGUAUGUGAAGAUAAAUUUAGAAUUUCUAGACUAGUAAAUACUUCUCUGAUAAUAACUUAAUUAUAGCUAUUUCAAACCAAAUUGUUUAAUUGUGGUGAAUCAUAUGUAAAUUGUUCAGAUGUAGGUCAACACCCACGCCCACAUUCUAGCACCUCUUUCCUAAUUCAAGACAACUUUGCAGUGCCUAAAAGAGCUGAACAGUGCAGAUUAGAGACAUAAGACAAAAAAAAAAAAAAAACACAAAACAA